rnacentral:rRNA from 1 species
GACAGAGGGUGCAAACGUUGCUCGGAAUCACUGGGCGUAAAGGGCGUGUAGGCGGAGAAGUAAGUCGGGCGUGAAAUCCCCAGGCUUAACCUGGGAACUGCAUCCGAUACUGGAUGGCUUGAAUCCGGGAGAGGGAUGCAGAAUUCCAGGUGUAGCGGUGAAAUGCGUAGAUAUCUGGAGGAAUACCGGUGGCGAAGGCGGCAUCCUGGACCGGCAUUGACGCUGAGUGAGCGAAAGCCAGGGGAGCAAACGGG